rnacentral:lncRNA from 1 species
CUACAUUCACAGAGGCCUGUUUCCAUCCUAAAUGCGCAACUAGACUUUACUAAUUUGACUCUAAAUGAAACUAGUAUUCACUCACAUGUGGUUUCUGGACUUUGUCUAUCAAACGUGUUCCCUGUGAGAUGUGUUCUUGUUAUUCUCCCUCUCUAAACAUUGUGAAAAAGGCAGGGAAAAUUCUUUCUGUAUGGUAAUAAACUGCGUGAUUUGUGAAAUCAUACCUUAUUUUAACCACAUAAAACGAUCUCAAAAUCAUUAUGCUGAGUGAAAGAAGCCAGACCUGAAGGACUACACUUAACUUACUGUAUCAUUCUAUUUUAUAUGACAUUAUGGAAGAGGCAAAACUAUAGGGAUAAAAAACAGAUUGGUGGUAGCCAGGAGCUAGAGAGAGGGAACUGACUGCACAGGGGCAUGAGGAAAGUUUUUGGGGUAAAGGAAAUAUUCUAUGUCUUGACUAUGGUCAUGGUUUCAUGACUGCAUACAUUUGGUGAAUUUUAUCUGAUACAAAUUAUACCUCACUAAAUCUGAUAUUUAAAAAAUUAAAAAAAAAACCCAACCAAGAAAAAAGAGUUAAUAUUCAAUUUUCUAAAAAAUGCAUUAAGAAUUUGCCCUUUCUUAUGCCCUUUUAAGGUUGAUGUGGUGCUUUAAGAAGCUAACAUAGAAGGAUAAAGUAAGUCUCUACAAAACCCAGAGAAGAGACUGGAAAACUCCUCUCUGGAUCCUGCCUGGAGUCACAGCUGUACCAGGAAAAAAAAAAAAAAAUUCACUAAGAAUGAAUACCUUGGUAAGGAUUUAACAGCAUCAAUUUCAAAUGUCUCUGUUUAGUAUUUUACCAGUCACAAAAUGCUGAUUAUGUCCUCACAGGAAUAAGUAUCUUAGAAUAUCUCUGUCCAGUAACCUUUGAUUAUUCUUAAAAAAAACAACAAAGGAGGCCAGGCACAGUGGCUCAUGCCUGUAAUCCCAGCACUUUGGGAGGCCGAGGCUGGCAGAUCACCUGAGGCCAGGAGUUCAAGACCAGCCUGGGCAACAUGGUAAAACCCCGUUUAAAUACAAAAAUUAGCCCAGCGUGAUGGCAGGCACCUGUAAUCACAGCUACUAGGGAGGCUGAGGCAUGAGAACUGCUUGAACUCGGGAGGCGGAGGUUGCAGUGAGCCAAUAUCACGCCACUGCACUCCAGCCUGGGUGACAGAGACCCUGUCUCCAAAAAAAACAAAAAGACAAAGGAAAUCUGAAGGCUUUUCCUAGUUGCCACAAUGUUUCAUACAAAAGACAACCACAAAGUAAAACUGCAUAGGUAAUUUCUAUCAUUUACUAAUGGGUGAUGUUCCGUAAUGCACUCAUGU